GAGGAAGAGCUGCAGCACAAAGAGCAGAGGGAGGAAGGGAUGCAGCACAAAGAGCUGGCUCAGCGUUUCCUGCCAGGAACCAGCAAUGCAUCUCUGCAAACACACAGGCUCCCUGAGAACACGGAGGACCAGUGAGAGCAGCAUCACAUGUUGGUGCUGCGGCCACACACCUGUUAUAAAUCUGGGAUCAUAGCGCAUGGCUUAUUAAACGAGUCAGAUUACAUAAGCAAUUUCCAUUAGUUUGCUUUUUGUAUAAGUGAUUUGCCCAAUAACUUCAAAUGAAAAAAAAAGAAUCAUUUCUGUUCAUGAGAACAGAAAUGAGACGCUACACCUUUCAGACAUAACUUCUGGUUCACAUUAAAACAUUCUCAUUUUGUACAAUGAAAUAUGUGCUGUAGCAUUUGAUACAGUAUAAAUUCUUGUAAAAUAUUUAAUUACGCAGUUUUUUUCACGUCUGUCCUUCUCAAUCCUCCAGUGGUUGAACCCUCUGUCUAGGUUGAUGGCUCCGUCUGCUUCUUGCUUUGACUUUACUGACAUCAGCCGGUCCAAAUGUGCCACUUCAAGACAAUUUCUGGAUCAUGUUUUGAUAUGAUUCAUUAAACUAAAUUCUCUUUC